rnacentral:piRNA from 1 species
UUAAAUAACAAGUCAUUGCAUAGUUGUAUU